rnacentral:tRNA from 1 species
GUGGCGUUAGUUCAAAGGAAGAACACUGACCUCAUAAGUCAGUAGUUGGGAUGUCAGGAUUCCCACGCCGCA